rnacentral:miRNA from 1 species
GUGGAUCACAACCUAGUGGGU